GCGCUUGUCAGGUUGGUGAUGACGAGCUAAGGCAACUCGCAACCAUGGCAGACUAGGAAUCUGAGAGUCGGACGUUCAAAUCGUUCCGGGCGCGCCA
rnacentral:tRNA from 1 species